rnacentral:lncRNA from 1 species
UCUUGGUUUGGGAUAAGGAAUGCAUUACUCUGCUUGGGAAGAAGGCAUCGGAGAUAAUUUAAAAGGCAAUGAGGUAAUGCGUUGGAUAAAGCUAAUUGUUCUAAAAUUAUGUAAAUUGUUUCACAUAUAUGAUCAAGUUAUUUACUUUUGUUUCUCACUUUUACAGAUUGGCCAUUUUGAAAUUAUACCAAGAGAAAUUGAAACUGCUCUUAUUGGGGAAGACUAUCAUGUUCAAAGUACAAUUUAGAGCUGAUAUCAAAACACUGAAUGAUAGACCUUACAUUGUGCUGAAAAUAUUAUGCAAUCCAGAUGUUGUGCAGAAGUAUGCUUCUAAGAUUGAGGACUCUAAAGGCUCGUCGGGCUGCAAAAUUCUAGGCCCAACCCAGCCCCUCUCGGGCCAUUGAGCGGUCGGGCUAAACUAGCCCAUAUUUUUUUUAAAAUCUUAUUUUUUUUUGUUACUUUAUAGAAAUUCAACUAUCUACAUAAAUAUCACUUUAUUAAAAUAUUGAUAUAUUUUAAUUAUCAAACAUUACUUGAUUAA